rnacentral:lncRNA from 1 species
AGUAAAACACUUUCAUGAUAAGGAAGACAGAGAGAAAUAAAGGAGCGAUUCAUUUAUGAGAUCUAAAAACUAUUACAUUGGUAUGAAAGAAAAAGAUAAAAAAACAAAUUAAAAAGGAUAUUUCAAUUCCCUUCCCUGGAUUGAUGAUCAGUAUGUUCGACGGGGACCUCCUCUAUUAGUUCCACAUCCUUUGGAGCCUUCUCUAAGUCAAUUGAAUCUACUAAAAUUUUUUUAUCAUUCUCUGCUUCUGGUGUACUG